CCUACGGGGUGCAGCAGUGGGGAAUAUUGCACAAUGGGGGAAACCCUGAUGCAGCGACGCCGCGUGAGUGAAGAAGUAAUUCGUUACGUAAAGCUCUAUCAGCAGGAAAGAAAAUGACGGUACCUGACUAAGAAGCCCCGGCUAACUACGUGCCAGCAGCCGCGGUAAUACGUAGGGGGCAAGCGUUCUCCGGAUUUGCGGGGUGUAAAGGGCGCGUAGACGGCAGCGCAAGUCUGGAGUGAAAUGCCUGGGCUCAACCCCGGAACUGCUCUGGAAACUGUGCAGCGGGAGUGCAGGAGAGGGAAGCGGAAUUCCUGGUGUAGCGGUGAAAUGCGUAGAUAUCAGGAGGAACACCAGCGGCGAAGGCGGCUUACUGGACUGUAACUGACGUUGAGGCUCGAAGGCGUGGGGAGCAAACAGGAUUAGAUACCCUAGUAGUC
rnacentral:rRNA from 1 species